GGCAGCAGGCAGCCUGGAGAGCUUGGGAGAAAAACUGAAUGAAACUGACCUAGCGGAAAUAUUCCUCCAAAGAAUAUUCUUUCAAAAUUUUAUCCAUGUUUUAAAAUUUAAUUUAAUGAUAUUUAAUUGUUAUUUAACCAGUGGCUUGUUAUCUCAUGACGCGAUGCGGUCUUCAUCCUUCAGCUUCCCUUCUGUUUCCAAAACGAAUUCUGGAAGUCUGUGGAAGCCUAAUCUGCCAGCACCCACUAAUCCCCAGGAUCAGCUCUCGGCAAAGAAGAGACCUUGAGUGAUCUUCAGAGAGAUUAGGUAGGAGGGGGUUUAAGCAUUCUGUGAAUGCAGUGAGUGCCCAGAGCAGGAUGGAGGCCGGGGAAGGUGGCCUCACGUCCUGGAACUCCAUCUCUGUUCUGUGCAGGCAGUGUGAGGAACCAGACCCCAGAUACUCACCGUACACGGUGGUGCGGAUAGCAGAGGCAGAAAUGCGGGCCUAUCAUCGAUUCUUGGGGAGCUGCACCAGCCUGGAGUACAGGGCAAAUGAAGCACUUCCAAUAAACAGCACCUCCUUGCUCUCCAAAGCUGGGCAUAUUCCUGAUGUCUGCUGUGCUGCAGUCUGCAAACCGUCAUAGAAUUUCGACAGCUGCCUGGUCUUUCCCUGCCAUCAACUAAGAGAGCUAUGUGGGGUCUCCUCCUGGUCCUGGUGAGCAUAAAGAGAAUAAAUGUUCAGGGCUUGCAUGUGCUCUGCCAGGGCUGAGCUCUGGGGCCACGUGGGGCCACAUGCUGAGGUUCCUGUGGAGUACUCCGAAGCCAUCAGGGACUUCGUGUGAGGGCGGGAGUGUUUCAUUUCUAAUGUGUAUCAUGCCAUGAUUGUGUCAAUAUUUGUCUAGAUUUAGCAAUUAUACACUUAAUAUUUGUGCAGUCUGCUUGUAUUCAACAAAAUUUUGUUAGUAUAAAAAUAAAAGAUAAAGAGCACACAUUAUGUAAACUAA